rnacentral:rRNA from 1 species
UACGUAGGCAGCAAGCGUUGUUCGGAGUUACUGGGCGUAAAGGGUGCGUAGGCGGCUUUUUAAGUUUGGUGUGAAAUCUCCCGGCUCAACUGGGAGGGUGCGCCGAAUACUGAGAGGCUAGAGUGCGGGAGAGGAAAGUGGAAUUCCUGGUGUAGCGGUGAAAUGCGUAGAUAUCAGGAGGAACACCGGUGGUGUAAACGGCUUUCUGGACCGUAACUUACGCUGAGGCACGAAAGCGUGGGUAGCAAACAGG